ACACUGCUGAGGAGUCCCACAAUAGGACGAAACGACCUUUCAGUGU
rnacentral:hammerhead_ribozyme from 1 species